rnacentral:rRNA from 1 species
AUACGGAGGGUCCAAGCGUUAUCCGGAUUCAUUGGGUUUAAAGGGUCCGCAGGCGGGAAAAUAAGUCAGUGGUGAAAGCCUACAGCUCAACUGUAGAACUGCCAUUGAUACUGUUUUUCUUGAGUAUAGAUGAAGUGGGCGGAAUAUAUCAUGUAGCGGUGAAAUGCAUAGAUAUGAUAUAGAACACCGAUUGCGAAGGCAGCUCACUAAACUAUUUCUGACGCUCAGGGACGAAAGCGUGGGGAGCGAACAGGAUUAGAAACCCCAGUAGUCC